rnacentral:rRNA from 1 species
UACGUAGGGUGCGAGCGUUGUCCGGAAUUACUGGGCGUAAAGAGCUCGUAGGCGGUUUGUCGCGUCGGCUGUGAAAACCUGGGGCUCAACCCCGGGCCUGCAGCCGAUACGGGCAAACUAGAAUUCGGUAGGGGAGACUGGAAUUCCUGGUGUAGCGGUGAAAUGCGUAGAUAUCAGGAGGAACACCUGUGGCGAAAGCGGCUCACUGGACCACAACUGACGCUGAGGCGCGAAAGCUAGGGGAGCAAACAGG